UGCAGUCGACGAACUCUGGUAUUGAUUGGUGCUUGCAUCAUGAUUUACAUUUGAGUGAGUGGCGAACUGGUGAGUAACACGUGGGAAACCUGCCCAGAAGCGGGGGAUAACACCUGGAAACAGAUGCUAAUACCGCAUAACAACUUGGACCGCAUGGUCCGAGUUUGAAAGAUGGCUUCGGCUAUCACUUUUGGAUGGUCCCGCGGCGUAUUAGCUAGAUGGUGGGGUAACGGCUCACCAUGGCAAUGAUACGUAGCCGACCUGAGAGGGUAAUCGGCCACAUUGGGACUGAGACACGGCCCAAACUCCUACGGGAGGCAGCAGUAGGGAAUCUUCCACAAUGGACGAAAGUCUGAUGGAGCAACGCCGCGUGAGUGAAGAAGGGUUUCGGCUCGUAAAACUCUGUUGUUAAAGAAGAACAUAUCUGAGAGUAACUGUUCAGGUAUUGACGGUAUUUAACCAGAAAGCCACGGCUAACUACGUGCCAGCAGCCGCGGUAAUACGUAGGUGGCAAGCGUUGUCCGGAUUUAUUGGGCGUAAAGCGAGCGCAGGCGGUUUUUUAAGUCUGAUGUGAAAGCCUUCGGCUCAACCGAAGAAGUGCAUCGGAAACUGGGAAACUUGAGUGCAGAAGAGGACAGUGGAACUCCAUGUGUAGCGGUGAAAUGCGUAGAUAUAUGGAAGAACACCAGUGGCGAAGGCGGCUGUCUGGUCUGUAACUGACGCUGAGGCUCGAAAGUAUGGGUAGCAAACAGGAUUAGAUACCCUGGUAGUCCAUACCGUAAACGAUGAAUGCUAAGUGUUGGAGGGUUUCCGCCCUUCAGUGCUGCAGCUAA
rnacentral:rRNA from 1 species